CUUUCUAAAGGAUUGAUGUCUGUAAAGAAUUAACUUUAGGAUCAAUUAUUAUUAUUAUUAUUAUUAUUAUUAUUAUUAUUAUUAUUAUUUGAGAUGGAGUUUUGCUCUUUUUGCCCAGAAUGGAGUGCGGUGGUGCAAUCUCGACUCACCACAACCUCGGCGUCCCAGGUUCAAGCGAUUCUCCUGUCUCAGCCUCCUGAGUAGCCGGAAUUACAGGCAUGCGCCACCACACCCAGCUAAUUUUGUAUUUUUAGUACAGACGGGGUUUCUCCAUGUUAGUCUGGCUGGUCUCGAACUCCCGACCUCAGGUGAUCUGCCCGCUUCGACCUCCCAAAGUGCUGGGAUUACAUGCGUGAGCCACGGCGCCCGGCCAGGAUCACUUAUUUUCUUAGAUAACAUCUUAUCUUCAGCAUCUUCCUUGAGGGCACCAGACUUAGGAAGAAAGGCCACAAUCUUAAUAUGGUAUUUUCCUCAAGGCUAAGUAUUCACAAGCUUUUCUUACUUAAAAGCUUUUAAAGUUUUGCAUCUUCUCGUUUAGGACCUAUGAGUCAUUGGCAUUUCCAAUCCCUCUAAGUCCAGUUUCUGGACUGACUUUAUUCCCUAUCCCUUCUCUUGCAAAUGUGCUAAUUCUUGCUUGUGUUCUUCCCUUUUCUUGUAUAACCUUGUGUAAUAAAGCCAGUUACAACUAUACACACUACUAAUAUUUUAUUUUCUAACUGCAUUUGAAAUUCUGAAAGAAUAAUUUUUAAGAAAAAUAUAAAUUACAAUAAUUUUCUACUUUAAAAAGACAAUAACUUUUACAAAUUAAUAAUAUAACAAAAUGACAGUUUUGAAAGAACAAUCUUGAAAACAUAGCAUUAG
rnacentral:lncRNA from 1 species